rnacentral:rRNA from 1 species
GCGCGUGCUUACACAUGCAAGUCGAACGAUGAAGCCCUUCGGGGUGGAUUAGUGGCGAACGGGUGAGUAACACGUGGGCAAUCUGCCCUGCACUCUGGGACAAGCCCUGGAAACGGGGUCUAAUACCGGAUAUGACUGUCCACCGCAUGGUGGAUGGUGUAAAGCUCCGGCGGUGCAGGAUGAGCCCGCGGCCUAUCAGCUAGUUGGUGAGGUAGUGGCUCACCAAGGCGACGACGGGUAGCCGGCCUGAGAGGGCGACCGGCCACACUGGGACUGAGACACGGCCCAGACUCCUACGGGAGGCAGCAGUGGGGAAUAUUGCACAAUGGGCGAAAGCCUGAUGCAGCGACGCCGCGUGAGGGAUGACGGCCUUCGGGUUGUAAACCUCUUUCAGCAGGGAAGAAGCGAAAGUGACGGUACCUGCAGAAGAAGCGCCGGCUAACUACGUGCCAGCAGCCGCGGUAAUACGUAGGGCGCAAGCGUUGUCCGGAAUUAUUGGGCGUAAAGAGCUCGUAGGCGGCUUGUCACGUCGGUUGUGAAAGCCCGGGGCUUAACCCCGGGUCUGCAGUCGAUACGGGCAGGCUAGAGUUCGGUAGGGGAGAUCGGAAUUCCUGGUGUAGCGGUGAAAUGCGCAGAUAUCAGGAGGAACACCGGUGGCGAAGGCGGAUCUCUGGGCCGAUACUGACGCUGAGGAGCGAAAGCGUGGGGAGCGAACAGGAUUAGAUACCCUGGUAGUCCACGCCGU